CCUACGGUGGGCAGCAGUGAGGAAUAUUGGUCAAUGGCCGCGAGCCUGAACCAGCCAAGUCGCGUGAGGGAUGACGGCCCUACGGGUUGUAAACCUCUUUUGUCAGGGAGCAAAGAGCGUCACGUGUGACGCAUUGCGCGUACCCGAAGAAAAAGCAUCGGCUAACUCCGUGCCAGCAGCCGCGGUAAUACGGAGGAUGCGAGCGUUAUCCGGAUUUAUUGGGUUUAAAGGGUGCGCAGGCGGAAUGGCAAGUCAGCGGUAAAAUUGCGGGGCUCAACCCCGUCCUGCCGUUGAAACUGCAGUCCUUGAGUGCGCGAGAAGUAUGCGGAAUGCGUGGUGUAGCGGUGAAAUGCAUAGAUAUCACGCAGAACUCCGAUUGCGAAGGCAGCAUACCGGCGCGCAACUGACGCUCAUGCACGAAAGCGUGGGUAUCGAACAGGAUUAGAUACCCGAGUAGUC
rnacentral:rRNA from 1 species